UCCCAUAUGGUCUAGCGGUUAAGAUUCCUGGCUUUCAUCCAGGCACCCCAGGUUCGACUCCCGGUAUGGGAA